GAUGAACGCUGGCGGCGUGCUUAACACAUGCAAGUCGAACGAAGCACCUCUCCCGAAGAUUGCCACAGCUUGCUGUAGAUUGAUUCAUUUGAGGUGACUGAGUGGCGUACGGGUGAGUAACGCGUGGGUAACCUGCCUCAUAGAGGGGGACAACAGUUGGAAACGACUGCUAAUACCGCAUAGUAAGAAGAAUUCGCAUGUUUUCUUCUUGAAAGAUUUAUCGCUAUGAGAUGGACCCGCGUCUGAUUAGCUAGUUGGUAAGGUAACGGCUUACCAAGGCGACGAUCAGUAGCCGGCUUGAGAGAGGGAACGGACACAUUGGGACUGAGACACGGCCCAAACUCCUACGGGAGGCAGCAGUGGGGAAUAUUGCACAAUGGGGGAAACCCUGAUGCAGCGACGCCGGGUGAGUGAAGAAGUAUUUCGGUAUGUAAAGCUCUAUCAGCAGGGAAGAUAAUGACGGUACCUGACUAAGAAGCCCCGGCUAACUACGUG
rnacentral:rRNA from 1 species